AAAUCCAGCAGUCAAAAAUAUUAGUCAAUGCUCGAAAGAGUGAACUAGCUAACUGAAAUCAUUAAAAAUUGAUAACAUAAGGGAAAAUAAUGAUAUUACCUUAUUAUUAGUGUCGUCCAAAACUGGUGCCAGAAGACUCGGUAAGGCCAGAGACACAAACGUUAAUCGUCUUAAUCAGGCGUAAAGGGUUUGUAGGCGGCUUUUAAUUUUACUUAUUUAAUUUUAUUUUUUUUUAUUAAAAUUUAUAAGUACAGAAUAAAAGCUAGAAUCAAAUAGAGGAUAUAUCAAAUAAUGCUUAGAGUAGGUCUGAUAUCCUUAGAUACUAAGUAGAAUAUUAAAGGCGAAGGCUUUUUUCCAUUAAUGAUUGACGCUCAGAAACGAAGGUGAGGAUAGGAAAUAGGAUUAGAUACCCAAAAUACCCCUCUCUGUCAACGAUGAAUGGUAGUUAUUAGUAAUAAAUUAAUUAAUGACAAUGUUAACACGAUAACCAUUCCGCCUUGUGAGUACAACUGCAAAGUUGAAAACAAAAAAAUUAGUCGGUUUCGGAGCAAACGAAGUGAAGCAUGUUAUUUAAUUCGAUAAUCCCGCAA
rnacentral:rRNA from 1 species